AAACUGCAGAUGGACCGCGAUGUUCUUUUUGGAGAGCAGUGGCUUUCUCCUUGUAACACUGUAAUUCACUCCAUUGUUGUUCAGUGUUCUCCUGAUGGUGAACUCAUGAACAUUAACAUUAGCCAAUGUGAGAGAGGCCUUUGUUUGCUUAGAAGUUACCCUGGGUUCCUUUGUAACUUCAGGGACUUUUACAUGUCUCACUAUUGGAGUAAUUUUGGUUGGUUUCUAAUAAACAUACUAGGUUCUCUUUUUUGAUUAAAUUAUAGCUAAUAGUAACUAGUGACCUAGACGUAUUAGGUGUAAUUUAUGCACUAGUCAAAUAUUAACCCCACCCCAUCCAGUUAAUAGUUAUAGUUGAAAUGAAGCGAUCUGGCAGCCCGACAUUCAGGUCUCCCCCUCAGCACUUACUGUAGAACAGCGGUGCUACAGAGGCGCAGACCACAUGCCGAUUCUCUCUCUCUCUCUCUCUCUCUCUCUCUCUCUCUCUCAGUGUUCCCUAGUUUAUAACUUAUAACCUUGGUACCCAAAGUUUCCCCCUUUUUAAUGUAACUUAGUUCCAUUUAAUUUUGUGCCAGAUCAACAAAAAAUCCUCCAGUAUGUUUAUCCCUGAAAAGAAAAUGAAACAGAACACACACACGCUGCUUGUAUAAUAGAAAACAGUUGACCUGUGUUAAAUGACUCAAUGUUUUUAAGUCUGUUUUUACAUCUGUUACGCUUCCGCCGGUGGAUGGCGCUGCGGCGUCGAAGCGCAAAGACUGCUGCAGAGCGCGCGUGCACGAGACCCUGACAUAUGGACACGCGCGGCUCGUUUGUUUUGAUUUACUUCCUGUCCAGUGGAGUGAUGAGAAGAAAUCCUCAGAAACUGCUACAGUGUCCUCCCAGGAAUCCAUGGCUAAUCAUAGGCUGAAGUGUUUCAGAGACAUUCUGGACAUUUUUUCUGUUUCUGAAAGCAGGACCUCGCACUCGCCGCGCAGUACUGGCCAUUAUCUUCUAUGGAAAGUAGCUAAGGUUUGUCCAAAAAGUCGCUCGAUAUGUCGCUAGAUGAUUUAAAAAAAAAAAAAAAAAAAAGUUGCUAAAGGGGUCUGAUAAGUGGACCGAAUCUGUCCCUGUUAAAAUGAAUGAGUGAACGGCAGGAGGAGGAGGGGCUGCAGCGGGGAGUCUUAUUUUGAGUGAAAGGAUUGUAUUCGUGUUCUUUUGAAAAUAAACCCUUUAAAGUGA